rnacentral:rRNA from 1 species
CAAUAGCGUAUAUUAAAGUUGUUGCAGUUAAAAAGCUCGUAGUUGGAUUUCUGGUGGGAGCGAUCGGUCUGGCGCUUAGCGCGAGUACUUGCAUCGUCUCCGGCCAUCCUUGGGGAGAGUCUGUCUGGCAUUAGGUUGUCAGGCAGAGGAUCCUCAUCGUUUACUGUGAAAAAAUUAGAGUGUUCAAAGCAGGCUUAUGCCGUUGAAUAUAUUAGCAUGGAAUAAUAAGAUAGGACUUUGGUACUAUUUUGUUGGUUUGCGCACCAAAGUAAUGAUUAAUAGGGACAGUUGGGGGUAUUCGUAUUCCGUUGUCAGAGGUGAAAUUCUUGGAUUUACGGAAGACGAACUACUGCGAAAGCAUUUACCAAGGAUGUUUUCAUUAA